AGUUUUCUUCGAAGAUUUGGGGCUCCGCGAUACAGUUAGGAUGGCUGUAGUACCUCUGCUGUUGUUGGGGGGUUUGUGGAGCGCUGUGGGAGCGUCCAGCCUGGGUGUCGUUACUUGCGGCUCCGUGGUGAAGCUACUCAAUACGCGCCACAACGUCCGACUGCACUCACACGACGUGCGCUAUGGGUCAGCUCUUCUGCAUCUUACACUUGCUCCUCAGUUUCCAUCUUUGGCCCCCUUCUACCCAAACCUUAACCUCCUUCUUGUAAGAAACUUGGAGCAGUGACAGGAAUUGCAGAGAAAACUGCUUUUUUUUUUUUUUUUUUUUAGCGUUUGAAAUUAAAAUGUUUAGUAAUAAAUUAUUUGUGGAUUCAUUCAGCAUAGGUCUUAAUGAGUUCCUACUACAUGGCUAGAAUUGUACUACAUACAGGAGAUUCGGUGGUGAUAAUCAGUCAAGAAAAUUACAAUAUAAUAAAAACAGACUAAAAAAAGAAAGUCUUAUCUGCCUGAAAAAAAAAGAUAAAGUUAAAAAAAAAGAAUGAAGGUCAGCUAGUGAGAUGUGAGAGGCAUCUAAGAUAGCUGGUAGAUUUUUGUCUUGAAUGACUGAUGAUGCUGUUUGCUGAGGGAGGAAAGAGUUCUGUCAGGUGGGCUAGUCUGGUUCAUGAUUCCCAAAACCCAUCUGAUCAGUCAGACUAGGCAAGGACAUGAGUUAUCAUCACUGCGAUGUCUUAAUAAUUCUAGCACCCAUUCAGUGAACACCUACCAUGUUGUCAGGCUUAUUUUUUACUUUGUUUUGGUUUCCUACUUUGGAUCUACUGAAUUAGAGUGGAGGUGGACAGAGGCUUGGCAGUAGCAAUCUGUAGGUUUAAAAAGCUCUUCAGGUGGUUCUGAUGGACAGCCAGAUUUGGGAACCAGGUUCAGUCC
rnacentral:lncRNA from 1 species